rnacentral:tmRNA from 1 species
GGGGGCGAUCGGUUUCGACCGAGCGUCGGAUGCGACGAGUGGCGUGUCGAGGACCCCGGUUGGCCUCGUAAAUCUUCCCGGGACCGGCAGAAAUGCCAACAACUACGCUCUGGCUGCUUAAGAACUAAGCAACCCGUCGCCGGACCCCGCUCCUCAGGUCCGGUCCGACGCCAUCGAGGAGCAGGCCCCGCGAGCCCGCCUGGUGCUCAAAGGGUGACACCGAACCAGGCUGGCGCUCCUGAGCCCCGUCGGUCGGGCCGCGGGAGGGCGAGCACAACGAACGGCCGAACACACACGUAGAGGCUUGUCGUGGACGGGCUUGGGACGCGGGUUCGAUUCCCGCCGCCUCCACCA